GCCGAGCCCCCUCGCUCCGUGGCUCUCGUCUUCCUCCUCGCGGGAGCGCUGCCACCCCUCCCUCCCCAUCCCGCUGCCUCGCGCCCCAGUCCCCUAGUUCGCCUUCGAUUCCUCCUCGCGCGAGCGCCUCCACCACCGCAGGUUGAUCUCCCCUUCGAUUCUCUCGCUCCCGGCCCUUUCUCCCUCCCAUCACCCCACGAACGGAAUCCCCGUUUCAUAUCCUUAAUCUUCCCCCAAUUCGUGAUUGAGGCCAAAAUCAAGCCGCAGCCGCCUUGCGACAGCGAGAUCCGUGCGCCCGCGGCCGCGAUCGACGCCUUCCGGAUCUAAUUCUGAUCUCUCCAUCCCGUCCGGCGCCACAGACAGAUACAUCAGCAGCGUCACAGGAAGGAGAAGAUAGAGACCGACGGAGGCAGUUAGGGUUCGUUUCAUCUGUGUGGAUCGAUCUUGGGGACAAAGCCAGGGGAUGUCGUCGUCGAGCUCGCCGUGCGCGGCGUGCAAGCUGCUGCGGCGCAAGUGCACGCAGGGGUGCGUGUUCGCGCCCUACUUCCCGCCGGACCAGCCGGCCCGGUUCGCCAACGUCCACAAGGUGUUCGGCGCAAGCAACGUGUCCAAGCUCCUCAACGACCUGCCGCAGGCGCAGCGCGAGGACGCCGUGAACUCGCUGGCCUACGAGGCCGAGGCCCGGCUCCGCGACCCCGUCUACGGCUGCGUGGCCUACAUCUCCAUCCUCCAGCACAGGAUCAAGAUGGUGCGCGAGGAGAUCGUCAGCACGCGCAAGGAGCUCGCCGGGUACGUCGGCCAGGCGGCGUACGCGCCCUUCCUCCCCGCGCAGCAGCCCCACCACGCCGCUCAGUUCGUCCCCGGCAUGGGGCUCCUGCAGCAUCCGCAGCAGCACCAGCAGCAGCUGAUGGCGGCGAUGCAUCAGCAGCAGCAGCAGCAGCAACAACAGCAGGGGCCGUACCACCACCAGCAGAUCGUGGACGCGCAACACAUGGCGGCCGCGGUGGAGGUGGCCGCGCGAGGGAACCAGGACAUGAUAAUGCACCACGGCUUCAUGCCCGCAGCCGGCGGACCCACCGUGGCGGUCGUGGCUCCGGAGGCCGCGGCUUACGAGGGUGGAGCGCAGCCGUUCCUCAUCCAGCAGCAGCAGCAGCAACCGCAUCCUUCCGCCAUGACGUCGUACCGCAUGGAGCCCUCACCCCCGCCGCAGUCCUCGGGACACUCCCACGUCGACAUGCCGCAUCAUCGUCAGCAGCACACCGACGGCAGCGACGACGGGAGCGGCGGACCUCCACCGCCGACCUGAUCUAUGUCCUGCAUCCGAGUCCCUUCUCGCCGUGUGUCCAUGCUCAUCUUUAAUUUUUCCUCUAGUUUUCUUCUUCAUGGUUUCUUUGCUGUUCCUUAAUUUGUUGGACAUGAGUGUGUCUUGCUCUUGCUGAUCAUAUGAUAUCGAACUGGCGUCCAUACAUUGCUCCCGGAAAGCACAUCCAUGGCUCCCGGAGGCGGACAAGCUGGUGAUUCUUGCUCAAGGCUCUUCAUCAGCUGCCUUUAUCCCUCACAAGAGCGAGAGCCAAAUAAAUGCAGGCCAGAAACAGAGGUACGAGUAGCAAAAAGAAAUAUAUGAAGGGAGCCGGUGCAGAUCGAUAGAGAAAGUAGAGAGGUAGACCGUAGACAGAAGAGCGAGACAGUGUGGUAUUGGUCAUAGGGGGACGGGCAAAUGGUGAAGGAAGCAGCUUGCAUGCAGCUGGUGCACGGUCAGGGAGCAGCAUGAGCAUAAAUAAAACUAGAAAGUUGAGAGAGAGAAAAAGCAGCAACGGUUUCGGAUUUUGAUUUUUCUGUAUUAUCAUUUUAAACUUAAUUAGUGCAGUUUGACAACAUAUCUUUUGUCCACUUCUGGAUCUAUUGUAAUUAAACAUAAAGUUAUUAUUACUUGAAAAAAACAUAAAGUUAUUAGUGCCAUUUAGUUUGCACCCCUA